rnacentral:rRNA from 1 species
GAUGAACGCUGGCGGCGUGCCUAAUACAUGCAAGUCGAGCGAACAGACGAGGAUCUUGCUCCUCUGACGUUAGCGGCGGACGGGUGAGUAACACGUGUAUAACCUACCUAUAAGACUGGGAUAACUUCGGGAAACCGGAUCUAAUACCGGAUAAUAUAUUGAACCGCAUGGUUCAAUAGUAAAAGACGGUUUUGCUGUCACUUAUAGAUGGAUCCGCGCCGCAUUAGCUAGUUGGGAAGGUAACGGCUUACCAAGGCAACGAUGCGUAGCCGACCUGAGAGGGUGAUCGGCCACACUGGAACUGAGACACGGUCAAGACUCCUACGGGAGGCAGCAGUAGGGAAUCUUCCGCAAUGGGCGAAAGCCUGACGGAGCAACGCCGCGUGAGUGAUGAAGGUCUUCGGAUCGUAAAACUCUGUUAUUAGGGAAGAACAAAUGUGUAAGUAACUAUGCACGUCUUGACGGUACCUAAUCAGAAAGCCACGGCUAACUACGUG